AGCGAACGCUGGCGGCAGGCCUAACACAUGCAAGUCGAACGGAUCCUUCGGGAUUAGUGGCGGACGGGUGAGUAACACGUGGGAACGUGCCCUUUGGUUCGGAACAACUCAGGGAAACUUGAGCUAAUACCGGAUGUGCCCUUCGGGGGAAAGAUUUAUCGCCAUUGGAGCGGCCCGCGUCUGAUUAGCUAGUUGGUGAGGUAAAGGCUCACCAAGGCGACGAUCAGUAGCUGGUCUGAGAGGAUGAUCAGCCACAUUGGGACUGAGACACGGCCCAAACUCCUACGGGAGGCAGCAGUGGGGAAUCUUGCGCAAUGGGCGAAAGCCUGACGCAGCCAUGCCGCGUGUAUGAUGAAGGUCUUAGGAUUGUAAAAUUCUUUCACCGGGGACGAUAAUGACGGUACCCGGAGAAGAAGCCCCGGCUAACUUCGUGCAGCCGCCGCGGUAA
rnacentral:rRNA from 1 species